GAUGAACGCUGGCGGCGUGCCUAAUACAUGCAAGUCGAGCGAACAGACGAGGAGCUUGCUCCUCUGACGUUAGCGGCGGACGGGUGAGUAACACGUGGAUAACCUACCUAUAAGACUGGGAUAACUUCGGGAAACCGGAGCUAAUACCGGAUAAUAUAUUGAACCGCAUGGUUCAAUAGUGAAAGACGGUUUUGCUGUCACUUAUAGAUGGAUCCGCGCCGCAUUAGCUAGUUGGUAAGGUAACGGCUUACCAAGGCAACGAUGCGUAGCCGACCUGAGAGGGUGAUCGGCCACACUGGAACUGAGACACGGUCCAGACUCCUACGGGAGGCAGCAGUAGGGAAUCUUACGCAAUGGGCGAAAGCCUGACGGAGCAACGCCGCGUGAGUGAUGAAGGUCUUCGGAUCGUAAAGCUCUGUUAUUAGGGAAGAACAAAUGUGUAAGUAACUAUGCACGUCUUGACGGUACCUAAUCAGAAAGCCACGGCUAACUACGUG
rnacentral:rRNA from 1 species